GCGGCGAAAAGGCUGAGAGCGCGCCGCUCACUCUGCGUCUUGCUUUCACCCUUAAGGCGUUGCUGCCGUCAGUCGGACGUGCGCUGCUUCCUGCUUCUGCCUCAGCUUCACUGCUACCAGCGUCUACGGCUACAAGAAUCGACGCGGACCAAGGACAAACCUACAACGUCAACAAAAGUUCCUCGGAAAACAAGCUGUCUUGUCAAACACAAAGAAAAAAUUAAAAGGAGCGGAUAUGUACAUUCGGCAGGAUUAUUGCGCAGACAUGGUCUUUCUCUCUCAUUUGCUAUGGAUCGCGGCUAGGUCACCGCGGCAGUUUUUCUCGCUGUGACCACCUCGUACCCUUUGCGAUGUGCCCGAAACACCGAGUGCGCUCUCUUCUUUGCCACUAGUGGCCAGCGGCUCUGACAGCCGGAUCAACGAACAUUGUUUUUUCCCCCCGAGAAACCACGCAGCUGCCUCAAGCCAAUGGGGACAUCUUCGCGCUGUGGGCAAAAGAGAAACAACCGGUGGUGGUCCUUUCCAAGGUCCAUUACACCACCUUCUGCGAAGUCCGUUUCGACCAGAGCCCAGUUAUCGGCUCGAGCUCCUCCGAGAAAGCAGGUUCUUUGUGGAGCUAAAUCAACCACGAGUUAUUCCACAUCUACGAUAUACGACCAGAUUCGUUGUGAGAAGUGGCUCUUCUGGCUUUAGUCCAAGCAACGCCCGGAGCUACCCGACAAACUGGACCAGCACGAUCGUGUACCCGCAACAUCUCAUCUUGCUCGACAUAUGUAGUACCAACGAAUGAAUGGGUGUGAUAAAAUGUUUUUGCUCGAA